rnacentral:rRNA from 1 species
AGAGCGAACGCUGGCGGCAUGCUUAACACAUGCAAGUCGCACGGGCAGCAAUGUCAGUGGCGGACGGGUGAGUAACGCGUAGGAACAUGUCCAGUGGUGGGGGAUAACGUUGGGAAACUGACGCUAAUACCGCAUGAGCCCUGAGGGGGAAAGCAGCGAUGCGCCGAUGGAGUGGCCUGCGUAGGAUUAGCUUGUUGGUGGGGUAACGCCUACCAAGGCUACGAUCCUUAGCUGGUCUGAGAGGACGAUCAGCCACAUUGGGACUGAGACACGGCCCAAAUCCUACGGGAGCAGCAGUGGGGAAUAUUGGACAAGUGGGCGCAAGCCUGACUCCAGCAAGUCGCCGCGUGUGUGAAGAGGUCUUCGGAUUAGUAAA